UGCCGCCACCUCGCUUCCUUCUCCCCAUAUUGCCGCCGGCUGCUCCAAGUUAGAUCUGAGAUUAUUGAAAUUCCACUCAAGCUCAGACUGAUCCAACAUAGAUAUAUGUGAAUACUGAGAUUCCUCGAAGGCUUGGGCUCCACAACCUUCCACGACAUCAAUCUGGCAACGAAAACUCAAUUUUGGAACAGAUGACCAAUAGACCAAAGUGGCUAUGGUGGCGUGAUUACCAAUCGGCUCUCAGCUGAGCAAGGAGACAAUGUCGUUCUACUCCAACAAAUCGUUUUUCCUACACAUCCAAGCACGUGAGAUGAAAAUUGCAGGUUGAUUUGAAACCAGGAGUUUGAAAGUGCUAAUGGAUGCACGUGAUGGUUUUAGGAGAGAAAACCUGCUACAGCUAGGCAAGCAGAAAGGAGCAGACGAGUUGUGUGCCCAUACUUGCAGGUAAUGUUCUGAUUUUUCAUUUAAUGGGUUUAUUUCAAGUGUGUGUGCAGUAAUAUGAUUUGAUUUUUAUUGUAGAUUUACAGUUUGAUGCGUUUUUCUCAG